rnacentral:rRNA from 1 species
UAGGGAAUAUUGCACAAUGGGCGAAAGCCUGAUGCAGCAACGCCGCGUGCGCGAUGAAGGCCUUCGGGUCGUAAAGCGCUUUUCGGGGAGAUGAGGAAGGACAGUAUCCCCGGAAUAAGGCUCGGCUAACUACGUGCCAGCAGCCGCGGUAACACGUAGGAGCCAAGCGUUAUCCGAAUUCACUGGGCGUAAAGCGCGUGCAGGCGGCUCGAUAAGUUGGAUGUGAAAGCUCCCGGCUCAACUGGGAGAGGACGUUCAAUACUGUCGGGCUAGAGGACGGCAGAGGAAGGUGGAAUUCCCGGUGUAGUGGUGAAAUGCGUAGAUAUCGGGAGGAACACCAGUGGCGAAGGCGGCCUUCUGGGCCGAACCUGACGCUCAGACGCGAAAGCUAGGGGAGCGAACGG